UAUGGCCACAUCACAUUGAAACACUGAUUCCCAUACGAUCUCCAAAGUUAAGCAACAUUAAGCCUGGCCAGUACCUAGAUGGGUAACUGCUUGGGAAUACCAGGUGCUGUAAG
rnacentral:rRNA from 1 species